UCCUGUAAACUCAGUCGCACUCACAGAAUCUGAGAAUCUUAGAGCAUCUUCCCACCUAAUUUAAAGGAGUUGUCUGCUACAUGGCUGUGAGAAGAGAAGUGAACACACUUUUGUUCAUCUCGGCAGGAUUCCAGAUUACUUCAUGACUGACAGAGUAACACAGAACGGGUGGGCAGUUAAAAGAAAAAUGUGAGAUCACUAACAAAUCCAUCUUGUACACAAGCUGACAACUUCACUUCGAAGAUGCAUGGGCCACAAACAGCUGGCUCCAUAUUCUUUACUUAAUUUGUAUUCCACCCUCGAAAUUUGCCUUGAGUCAAUGUCUUUUCCAGGCAAAGUAAGAACUCAAACCAGGUGUGCUGCAUUGUCAGAGGUGCUGACUUUUGGAUGGAGGUGCUGUUGUACUGUAAUCCAGAGAUCUAGGUAAGGUUCUGGGGACCAAGAUGGUGAAAUUUGAUUUCAAUAAAAUCUGGAAUGAAAAGUCUAACAACGACCAUGGAACUGUUGCCAUGCUGCCAUCCUUGCUUGGUCUCGCCUACGCAGUGAUGUGGAUGGCUUGUGACUAUCCUCUGUA